rnacentral:rRNA from 1 species
CCUACGGGAGGCAGCAGGGAGGAAUAUUGGUCAAUGGGCGCGAGCCUGAACCAGCCAAGUAGCGUGAAGGAUGACUGCCCUACGGGUUGUAAACUUCUUGUAUAAAGGAAGAAAGUGAGGCACGUGGGCCUUGUUGUAUGUACGUUAUGAAUAAGGAUCGGCUAACUCCGUGCCAGCAGCCGCGGUAAUACGGAGGAUCCGAGCGUUAUCCGGCGUUAUUGGGUUGAAAGGGAGCGUAGAUGGGUUGUUAAGUCAGUUGUGAAAGGUUGCGGCUCCACCGUCAAAUUGCAAUUGAUACGGGCAGCCUUGAGUACAGUUGAGGUAGGCGGCCUUCGUGGUGUAGCGG